GGGGUUGUGGCUCAGUGGUAGAGCACUUGCCUAGCACAUGUGAGGCCCUGGGUUCAAUUCUCAGCACCA
rnacentral:tRNA from 1 species